CGUCCGAGGACACCCGACGUCCUCACGGGACGUCCGUAUCCGACCCUAAACACCACAGUGGCGGACGUCCCGGUCGCCCGUCACUACGUCCGACCGGACGUCCGCCAUUGGAGAUGCUCUUAUAAAAAACCAAAGUCUACAAGUUUGAAUCUAGCUAAAAGUGGUAAUGGAGUCAAGGAAUGCCUUGGAGCAUGAUCUUUUUCCUCUCUCUUCUCGAUUUCGGCAGCCACAAUAUUCCAAGGAAGAGUGAGAGCAAGAUAUCAUUUUGUUUGUUCCAAAGGGAUCCCUGCAAGUUAACACAAAAUGUUUAGAAGAGUCUUCCAACUUGAAAGAGGGAUAUGAUGCUAGCUAUAAAUGGAAGGGACAGCAACAAGGCUUGAGAUCAGCCACAAUGUGCCCUCCCAAACUUUCACCAUAAUAGAGAUGGAUACAAAAUAGUACAAGGUAAUGUGAGCUCAUCUUUUAAGCUCAAAAUAGAAGUGAAUCAGAUAUUCUUCCACAAAAACCAAGGCUGAAAUUAGCUUACACAAAUUGGGCAAGGAAUGCCUAUAUGUCAAGCUCAAAAGGGAAUUGAUGUUCAAACCCAAAGUAGGAAGUUAGACUCCCCAAAAUCUGAGGGCUAUAUAAACAGCCACAACCCCUCCUUCUCCUCCCCACCAUUCGACACCAAUAUUCACACAACAUAAGGAGCUGCACAAGGAGUGGAGAGGGGAGCAAGGAUGAGUGGCAGGGGCAGGACAUCAUCAGUCCACCAAACCAAGAGGAAUCACCGAGAGCCGAGGUUGAGCAAUGAUGACGGCGGGCGGUGUUGAGCACAGAAAAAUGAUGAUCCUUCGAUAGGAUAUUACUUGGAUGUGUCGUAUCUCCAUACACGAUGUCAUCUGCUCUUGACUCUUCCGCUGCAAUGUAAAAGUCGAGUUACAUUCUUUGUAUCAUGCACUCUGAUAUAUAUAAAUUCGAGUUAUUUCAGUUCAA